GAUCCUGGCUCAGGAUGAACGCUGGCGGCGUGCCUAACACAUGCAAGUCGAACGAAGCACCUUUUGAGAUUCUUCGGAUGAUUGAUCGGUGACUGAGUGGCGGACGGGUGAGUAACGCGUGGGUAACCUGCCCUGUACAGGGGGGAUAACAGCUGGAAACGGCUGCUAAUACCGCAUAAGCGCACGAGGAGACAUCUCCUUGUGUGAAAAACUCCGGUGGUACAGGAUGGGCCCGCGU
rnacentral:rRNA from 1 species